GCAAAUUUUGGCAACUCAAAAUUGGCAUUGCAGAAAUGACUGAUAUUUUUUAGCCAUGAGUCAAUAUUGAAGCCGAUAUUGCAUGUCACCACUGACAUGGUCCACAUUUUUCAGGUGUUCUGGCUGUCCGAAUGGUCUUCCCAAAUGUUUCCAGUACCAUAAUUCAACCAAAGCCAACCAGCAACAUGAACGAAAUUCUGCCAACUCCAAAAUAUAUUUCUGCCAAAGUGGUUCAGAAGAAUCUAAAUUUUCAAGUGUCUAAUGACCACCACUACCCACAGCAUAAAUAUUUGAAUGGAGGAGGAGGAAGGUAAGGAAGUAGAAUUACUGCACACUACCCCUGUCGAAGGACAUUAUAUUAUUAUUAUUAUUAUUAUUAUUAUCACCAUUUAUAUAGCGCCAACAGAUUCCGUAGCGCUUUACAAUAUUAUGAGAGGGGGGAUGUAACUAUAAAUAGGACAAUUACAAGAAAACUUCCAGGAACAAUAGGUUAAAGAGGACCCUGCUCAAACAAGCUUACAGUCUAUAGGAGGUGGGGUAUAAGACACGUUGGGACAGGAAAUAUAAAUCAAAAAGGUUGGGAGUGAAGCAGAGCUGGAGGAGAGAGUAAAGCACUGCCCUACAGGAGAGAGCAAGAGACAGGUAUGUAAGGUAGCGGUUACUCUGGGAGGCCAUAAGUUUCCUAAAGAGAUGGGUUUUAAGGCACUUCUUAAAGGAUUGAAGGAGUCUCUCACGAGAAGUUCUGCAAGCGUGAGUUGGCCGUAAGGGUGCGAGCAGCGGUCAGGAGGUGGUUACAGGGAGAGCGGAGGGAACGAGGAGGGGCAUACCUUUGGAUCUGUGAAGAGAUAUAAGAGGGGCUAGAAUUGUUCAGUGCUUUAAAUGUAUGGGUUAGCACUUUGAAUUGACUACUAUAGGAUACAGGGAGCCAAUGUAAGGACUGGCAGAGGGGUGAGGUGUGAGAGGACCGACUAAGUCUGAGAGGAAAAUAAGUCUGUCAGCGACAUUCAUUACAGACAGUAGCAGGGCAAUAUGGCUUUUGGGGAGACCAAUCAGGAGAGGAUACAAUAAUCCAUGCGGGAAAUUACUAGAGCAUGGACAAGCUCCUUGGUAGCAUCUUGUGUAAGAAAGGGGCGGACGCGGGCUAUGUUUUUAAGUUGGUAUCUACAGGAUUUGGCAACAAACUGGAUGUGAGGCUCAAAGGUGAGGCCAGAGUCAAGUAUGACGCCAAGACAGUGUACUUGCAAGGAUGGGCUUAUGUGGAUAUCACUGACUUGAAGGGAGAGCGAGAGAGGAGGAUCAGUAUUAGGAGGAGGAAAGACAAGGAGCUCAGUUUUAGAGAGAUUGAGUUUCAGAAAGCGUGAGGACAUCCAGUCAGAGAUGGAAGAAUGGCAAGCAGUCACACGUUGCAAGACGUCAAGGGAGAGGACCGGAGAGGUAUAUCUGAGUGUCAUCAGCAUACAGUUGGUAGUGGAAUCCAAAAGAGGCAAUAGAUUUGCCAAGAGAGGCAGUAUAAAGAGAAAAUAGAAGGGGACCAAGCACAGAGCCUUGGGGAACUCCAACCGAGACAGGACGAGGGUAGGAGGUAUCCUUGGAAAAGGAGACACUGAAAGAGCAUUGGGAGAGAUACGAGGAAAACCAUGAGAGGACAGAGUCACAGAGACAGUGAUUAAAGAGUUUGAAGCAUGAUCAACAGUGUCAAAGGCAGCAGAUAGGUCAAGGAGAAUUAGUAUGGAGUAGUGACCUUUGGAUUUAGCUGCGAUUAGGUCAUUAGUAACUUUGAUAAGAGCAGUCUCAGUAGAGUGGAGAUGGCGGAAGCUAGACUGAAGAGGGUCAAGGAGAGAAUUGGAAUUGAGGAAGCAAGACACACGGGUAAAGACAAGUCUUUCCAAAAGCUUUGAUGAAAAAAGGGUAUGGGACGAUAGUUAGAGGGGGAGGAUGGGUCAAGAGAUAUUUUUUUUCAGGAUAGGUACUAGAGUGGCAUGUUUAAGGUCAGCGGGAACAGUGCCAGAAGAAAGAGAGGAGUUGAAAAUGUGUGUUAGGGAAGGCAGAAGACAAGGGGAGAGAGAUCUGAUGAGGUGAGAUGGGACAGGAUCGAGCGGGCAAGUGGUGGGGCGAGAGGAAUGGAGAAGCGCAGCCACCUCUUGUUCAGUAGCCGAUGAGAAAGUCUGAAGGGUAGGAAAGGCAUGAUUUAUGUGUGGUUGAGAAAGAGAACGGCAAGGAGGGGAGAGUUCUUUCCUUAGUUGUUCAAUCUUGUUGGUAAAGUAGCAUGCAAAGCUAUAAGCUGUAAGGUUAGUUUGGGGGGUGGCCACAGCAGGGCGGAGAAGAGAAUUAAAGGUGUCAAAGAGACAUUUAUAUAACUUGUAUGAUUUCUGCUCAAUGCCUUAAUGGCCAACUAAUCCAUCUCAAUUUGUCCUGCUGUGGGAGAAGGCGGCUUGCUGUAUGGCUGUCUCAUAAUCUUUCUGAAAUAUAAAAUUCUUAAAAUUAGGUUUUAUAUUUUAUAAAAGACUGGCGAAGGAAUAUUGGAGGAGCUUCAAGAAUGUAUAAAGAAUGGGGUGAAAUGUUAAAAGACUAAAUAAUGAGGUUGAAGGAAUAAAAUUAUUGUGAAAAGGCACAAAAUAGGGACUCUAUGAAAAAAGUGAGUCACAGGGUUUUCAGUCUCCUGGCCCAUACAUGCAUAUCUAUACCAAGUGGAUAAUAAGUCCUAUUUCUAAAUAUUUUGUAUUAUCUUACUUUGCCCUGUGAAGGUUGGGAGAAACACUUUGUCUCUUGACCUCUUUUGAAGUAACUUUUCUGCCUUUUCCCUUUCUUUAGUAUUUAUCUUCAAUGAUCUUUCUAAUAGCCUAAAAUUUGCACAGGAAUCUGCCUUUAUUAUUUGCUUUCUCAUUGGUCUCACCAUCCUGUCUGACUUUUGAAUUCUGUUCAAAGAUACAAUAAUUACUGAGAACAUGCACUCCAAGUAUAUAAUUGGGUGCAGUCUCCAGAGGUUACCUACGCAUUACCUCCUACAACAAUAAAAUGAAAUAAAGGGAGUCGUAACACAAAGUCUCACAGAACCGGAGAUUUAGCGUCAACUAUGGUGGAAUAACUCUCUUAUUCUGCAAAAUUUAGGAAUUUGACUGCGAUUACAAUUUUGUUAGUUCCUACUUCACUCGCCUCUUUUCUUGAUAGCUUUUCUUUAUCCAUCUCUGUACCAUGGUUCCUAGUUCUGUGUCUACCUCAUUGAAUCUUCCACUACAUCUUCCUGUGUUUCCAGAACUGUAAGGCCCGUGUAUAUUCAGAUACAAAAUUAUAUGUAUAUAUACUAAAAUGUUUGCACUGUGACAAUACACAAUAAAACUCCCCACAGUACAAAUAGAAAAAAUAGUAUUGUUCAUUACCUGUAUACCUCAAGUUUGG